UACAGGGGGGGCAAGCGUUGUUCGGAAUUAUUGGGCGUAAAGGGCGCGUAGGCGGUGCGGUAAGUCACGUGUGAAAUCUCCUGGCUCAACUGGGAGCUUGCAGGCGAGACUGCCGUGCUGGAGUGUGGGAGAGGUGCGUGGAAUUCCUGGUGUAGCGGUGAAAUGCGUAGAUAUCAGGAGGAACACCUGUGGCGAAAGCGGCGCACUGGACCACAACUGACGCUGAGGCGCGAAAGCUAGGGGAGCAAACAGG
rnacentral:rRNA from 1 species